GCUGGGAUAGCUCAGUUGGUAGAGCGUGAGACUCUUAAUCUCGGGGUCAUGGGUUUGAACCCUGCGUUGGGUG